AUUGAACGCUGGCGGCAGGCUUAACACAUGCAAGUCGAGCGGGGUGAUGGUGCUUGCACUAUCACUUAGCGGCGGACGGGUGAGUAAUGCUUAGGAAUCUGCCUAUUAGUGGGGGACAACAUCUCGAAAGGGAUGCUAAUACCGCAUACGUCCUACGGGAGAAAGCAGGGGAUCACUUGUGACCUUGCGCUAAUAGAUGAGCCUAAGUCGGAUUAGCUAGUUGGUGGGGUAAAGGCCUACCAAGGCGACGAUCUGUAGCGGGUCUGAGAGGAUGAUCUGCCACACUGGGACUGAGACACGGCCCAGACUCCUACGGGAGGCAGCAGUGGGGAGUAUUGGACAAUGGGGGGAACCCUGAUCUAGCCAUGCCGCGUGUGUGAAGAAGGCCUUAUGGUUGUAAAGCACUUUAAGCGAGGAGGAGGCUCUUUUGGUUAAUACCCAGAAUGAGUGGACGUUACUCGCAGAAUAAGCACCGGCUAACUCUGUGCCAGCCGCCGCCGUAACAC
rnacentral:rRNA from 1 species